GCCGAGGUAGCUCAGUUGGUAGAGCACUGCUCUGAAAAAGCAGGUGUCGCUGGUUCGAAUCCAGCCCUCGGCACCA
rnacentral:tRNA from 2 species